rnacentral:rRNA from 1 species
UACGAAGGGGGCUAGCGUUGUUCGGAUUUACUGGGCGUAAAGCGCACGUAGGCGGGUCGUUAAGUCAGGGGUGAAAUCCCGGAGCUCAACUCCGGAACUGCCUUUGAUACUGGCGACCUUGAGGCUGGAAGAGGUUAGUGGAAUUCCCAGUGUAGAGGUGAAACUCGUAGAUAUUGGGAAGAACACCAGUGGCGAAGGCGGCUAACUGGUCCAGAUCUGACGCUGAGGUGCGAAAGCGUGGGGAGCAAACAGG